GUGCUUAUUUCAGCAGCACAUAUAGUAACAUUGGAAUGAUACAGAGAAGAUUAACAUGGCCCCUGCACAAGGAUGACAUGCAAAUUUGUUAAGUGUUCCAUAUUUUU
rnacentral:snRNA from 1 species